rnacentral:misc_RNA from 1 species
UUAGAGGCAAAUAAUUUUCACCAAUGUCAGAUAAGUGUCAAGUUCUUCCUUGUCAUGCAACACUGGGGGAGAAUACAAUGGAGAUCCUAAAAACACCCUUCUCUAUCAAAUCACUAAAUCAGAAUAGAAUUGAAUAUACUGAAGCAUACGCCUCAUGUAUAGUAAAUACAACAUGAUAAUGCAAUUCUCUCUCCUCCAAAAUUAAAAAU